GGGAGCGAACAGGAUUAGAUANNNNNGUAGUCCACGCCGUAAACGAUGAUCACUCGCUGUUGGCGAUACACAGUCAGCGGCUAAGCAAAAGCAUUAAGUGAUCCACCUGGGGAGUACGGCCGCAAGGCUGAAACUCAAAGGAAUUGACGGGGGCCCGCACAAGCGGAGGAACAUGUGGUUUAAUUCGAUGAUACGCGAGGAACCUUACCUGGGCUUAAAUGUAGAGUGCAUGAAGUGGAAACAUUUCUUUCCUUCGGGACUCUUUGCAAGGUGCUGCAUGGUUGUCGUCAGCUCGUGCCGUGAGGUGUCGGGUUAAGUCCCAUAACGAGCGCAACCCUUAUCGUUAGUUGCCAGCGGGUAAAGCCGGGAACUCUAACGAAACUGCCGGUGUAAACCGUGAGGAAGGUGGGGAUGACGUCAAAUCAGCACGGCCCUUAUGUCCAGGGCUACACACGUGUUACAAUGGCCGGUACAGAGGGCAGCUACCUGGAGACAGGAUGCGAAUCUCGAAAGCCGGUCUCAGUUCGGAUCGGAGUCUGCAACUCGACUCCGUGAAGCUGGAUUCGCUAGUAAUCGCGCAUCAGCCAUGGCGCGGUGAAUACGUUCCCGGGCCUUGUACACACCGCCCGUCAAGCCAUGGAAGUUGGGGGUACCUGAAGUCCGUAACCGAAAGGAGCGGCCUAGGGUAAAACUAGUGACUGGGGCUAAGUCGUAACAAGGUAGCCGAAUCGA
rnacentral:rRNA from 1 species